rnacentral:misc_RNA from 1 species
AAAUGCGAUAAGUAGUGUGAAUUGCAGAAUUCAGUGAAUCAUCGAAUCUUUGAACGCACAUUGCGCCCCUUGGUAUUCCAUGGGGCAUGCCUGUUCGAGCGUCAUUUGUACCCUCAAGCUCUGCUUGGUGUUGGGUGUUUGUCCCCGUCUCCGCGCGUGGACUCGCCCCAAAGUGAUUGGCAGCCGGCGUACUGGUCCGGGAGCGCAGCACAUGUCGCGCAAACGAGUGCCUUGGUACGGCGGCGUCCAUAAGCCCCUCUCUCACGCUCUUGACCUCGGAUCAGGUAGGGAUACCCGCUGAACUUAAGC